rnacentral:rRNA from 1 species
UACAGAGGUCUCAAGCGUUGUUCGGAUUCAUUGGGCGUAAAGGGUGUGUAGGUGGCGCCGUAAGUCGGGGUGUGAAAUUUCGGAGCUUAACUCCGAAACUGCAUUCGAUACUGCGGUGCUUGAGGACUGGAGAGGAGACUGGAAUUCAUGGUGUAGCAGUGAAAUGCGUAGAGAUCAUGAGGAAGACCAGUGGCGAAAGGCGGGUCUCUGGACAGUUCCUGACAGCUGAGACACGAAGGCCAGGGGAGCAAACGGG